UAUUCUCAUUAGUUCGUGCCAGGGUAAUGAGUAAAAAAAAAAUUUUUUUUUUUGGCGCUAGAAUUUGUCAAUAAAAUAGGUAAAUUUAUCUUUAUUAAAAAUAUCGAUAUCGCAUUUUCAUCGUUUUAAAUUGGAUUUUUUCUCGUUUUGAUUCAUAUUUCUGAAUUUUUUUUUAUAUGAAACAGGAAUUUUACUGUGAUCUUAAUAACGGAACCAGAACGGAAUUUCGCUAAUUUUUUUUCCUGCCAGUCCGAAUCCGCCGUGGAGUUAAUCAUUCUCGGGUUAUUAAUGAUGGGAUUUGAUGCUUAUAAGCGGCUUAUCAUUAAUCAGGACGAGUCCGACAAUCAAAAAAAAUUUUUUUUUGUUCCUCCCCGUUAAAAGCCUGGAACGGCGUGGCUGAGAGGAAGGACGGAAUGUGCAAAAUUAUUUAUUUUCGGGCCGAAUAAUGCUUUGUUUGUUCUCCCUUUUUAUGUAAGCUUAGAGGUUUUUGUAUAACGUAGUUAUUUCCCAAAAGUAAUUAUCGCGGAAGAGCCUUAAUUACUGUUAUCGCGUGAUCGUUAACAUACGCUAACGCUCGGAAUUUGUUUAGGUUAGUUAGCCUCGAUGAGUUUUGUUGUUUCCUAUUCAUCAUCAUCAUCCUCUUUUUUAUCGAGUUGCGUUUUAAUUUGUGCGCCGCAAAAACACGCGAAUAUGGGGUGGAAAACGAUUAUGUAAUCAGUAGCGUAGGAAUCUAAUAUUUAUGAUGUUUAUUCUGUCUAAAUGCCAUCGAUUAAUUAAACGUAUAACGCUUGACGUCGCAUUCUCCGAGAGGAUUUUUUACCAAGUUUACACAGUUAUCAAAUAAAAAUUAUAUUUAUUUAACUUUUUCUGGAGGUUAAUGGAAUGGAUACAUUAAAACAGUGAAAAUGUAAUGGCAAUUUAAAAAAAAAAAAGCGAAUAUUUCGAGUGACAAUUUUCAGAGAAAAGGCGAAUAAAGCGUGUAAAUUAAAUUUAGCGAGGAGCGCGACAACUAAGUCAAAUUAUGGUAAUUGUUUCCUCGACCGAUUAAAAAGGAAACCGAUAGAAAUACCUUUUCGUUACAAACGUGUAACUGUCACAAUUUUGGGGUGUUCUUUGUAUGUCCGAUUUAAUUGAAGACGGACUGUUCGAUACCGAAAAUAGGUAGGCGAGCGAGUUUAGGGAAGGAAGAAUCGCUAUCAGUCUGGCUGCCAUCCAUUCCGGACCAAAAUAGCUUGGGCGUGCAGGCGGCGCAAUUAGCGCCGGGAGCUGGCAGGAUGUAAUUAUUCGUCCGAUGUGUUUCGAAUUUCAAUUUGGACAAAAGCGGCAGUAAUUACCGAACACAACCCCGACCGGUUUGGGUUCGCCGCCGCGUGAAAUAAGGACGGCAGUCGUAAAGCGGAGCGGAGGCAGUAAAAAGUCGGCAUCCCGUCGGCUUUACGAGCGCUCGGCCCGACCGUGACGUGAUCCGAAUCGACCGCAAUCUCUCUCUCCUUUUUUUUCCUGCCCUCCGACGGGCGCGCAGACUUUGGUAUGGAAGACACUUGUAACUCCGAGGAUGUCCGUCCGCUCCGCGCAGUUAAUACCUCCGUUAUUGCCCACCGGGAUUUAAGACUUCCAUGUUUUUCUGAUGACCGACGUCUGCCCAACAAAAAAGCUAUCACCGGAGCUUGAUUAAAACUCGGCAGUUGUCUUCCGUUUCCCUGGCAACCCCAUGGUUUCUGUUUGUCGACAUUACGGCUUUAUUAUUGAAGUAUAUGGCGUGUUACACGUUUCUCCAUCCGGACUCCGUGUCCUUUCCUAGAGCAUCGUCUGUUGUUUAACUUAAUUACGCGCCGCACGUUACGCUAAUUACCGGAAUUACUCCGUCGUUCGGCGUUUGUCCGUCCGUGACCAUUGACCGAGUCGAACCAGUGGAAAUUGUGCUAUCGGUCGUUAAUCGUUAAGAUAUCGAUUUUAACUCGGGCCAACACCUCGACUGAUUGCUAGAAAAUUAAAUUCCUUUCGGACACGCGUCACUCGGAUUCGGUGAUUACGGCCGUUAAUCGUUGCAAAAAUUUGUUACCCGAGACAAACGAAAAGGACGAGCGGGUAAUCCCUAAAAAUAACCCGAAAGACGAAAGUUCUUAUCGCGCACCGACUUUAAUAUCGAAUAGUAACGGAAAAUGCCAUCUGCUGCUAGUCUGUAUUGAUUUGUUAGCGGGAAUUCUGUCGAUAUUCCAAUCAUCGUUCGUACCGUUAAGCCUUUUCUAAGGGUAUCUGGGCCGAUUGUAAAACUAAAAAUAUUCUCCUAUUCUCGAUAAAGGGGAAGUAAAGUGAAAUGAAAAAAAAGCCGAUGGAGUAAAUGAAGUGAGAGCCAAAUCAACUUGGUUCUUCGCCCAGUUCUCCAAAGAAUAGUCGCUUAAUUGUGUCGGGGUAAUAAGGUGGACCUCCUCCUCUUAAUUAUCCUGCGCAGAUGUUCUCCAUUCUCUUUGGCCUAAUUUGAACUUUUUCCUCUCCUGGGCUUUCCAUCGCUUAGAUUUACGACUAGAGUCGACCCGCCUCUUACUUAUUUUUUCUCUCCCCUUCUAAAUAGAUCCAUCCAACUGCCAGUUGAAACGGAGCUGAUUCCGUGUCCGAUGCAUCUAAGUACAGAAUAAUGGAAAACGGAAUUAGAGCUAUAGUAAUUAUUGUGCAUGGCCUGCAGGUAUUAAUCUGGAUAUAUAUUGGGAUCCUUCUAGCGUAAUAUCCAUGCGAACGGCAUAAGUUGCUAUCUUUGGAAUCCAUCUGCAGUCCAUUUCGGUCGUUGGACGAUAUCAGAUGGCACCGUAUGCUAGGUUGGACUGAGUGAUGAUAUACGUCGGCUUUAGAAAUCGCUAAGGCGUGAAUAAUGAUGAUAGAGUGUCGGCAAUAGAGAAAUCGAGAGAGUUGGCCUCUUAUCUGUAACACUGCCGGAACUGUCUUGUUAAUUCUGGCAGUAAGAGAGAGCAGGGCGUUUGACAUCGAUGCCAUCGAUCGAACUGUACAGGUGGAAAAUGCACUCUUGACAUUCUAAGUCUCCAUGCAGAUUGGUAAAGGGUGUUCAUUCUGCUUCCAUAUCCCGGGGCCAUGUCGACAUAACGGCCGGAGGGGGAGAAUAGGGGAAAAAACCUUAUCGGGAGUGGGACAUUUGUAUUGUGUCUGCCGUUAUCUGCAGGUUCGUAUUCUCGUGCCUGCUGAAUGGACAGUAAGCGUGGUAGAUAACGAUGGUCGUUAGGCCGCGGGUGACUGGAUAUUCCAACCAACAUACAAAAGUGGAGAGAGAGAGAGAGUUACUGUUAUCCUCCCGCAGCUAUUGUAGUUCUGGUGGUUAUGAAACUCCCGUUAUAGUUUAUGGAGAUGACAGCGGCGUUUCGCCCGGUCCACCGGCUGUUGUCCAACUGGGCCAAUGUUAUUUUUGCUUCAAUCUUAUGGCUUAUAAAACCGUUGGUUUAUAUGUAGAAAUCUCGCCUUGUUGGCCGGCCUGUGCCGUUGCUGUUCCAAAAGGCAGAUUUAUAAUUAUACGUGCCGGUCGGUUGGCUGCGAUUUAUAGGACAGUCACCAAUAAAAUAAAAAAACCGACAAACAGUGGUCAUUACCAUAUAUUUAAGGCGGUAUCAUCGGUCAGAUUUCCACUUUCCGCAUAGAUACUUUAUCUUUAAUUUAAAAAUUCGACUUGGCAGAUUGGAAUCGAGUUGCCUAGCGUGAAAAUAACCGAGUUGGCACUUUUUACAGUACAGUGCCUUUGGUAAUGUUAAAAUAAGAGUUCGAGGAACAGCAUUUAAAAAAAUAUAAUGAUAAAUAGAACUAGUAGAGCGAAGGCAGAAAUAUCACCUUUGUUUUGUAUAUACUACGUGCAGUUGGGAUAAUUGCUAAUACACAAUAAAAUUGCCACUUUUCAUUGUAGGGAGUAAAAAUUCUUAACGAUGAAGACGGGCGGAUUGGUCCAAACAAAAGACAAUGUCAUUAACAGAUCGUUAGAUAGAACUUUUUUUCCUAAUCGCUUUACUACUCUGUUAUCUCUCUCGCACUCCUUAGGGUUUUUACAUUGUGUGUGAAUUGAAGGCAUUCCUCUUUAUCUCCAGAUGAUUCUAACACUUCUACAAGUAAUUAUUUAACAGAAACUGAAAAAACACUUCUCUUUCUGGAAGGUUAAGGUUAGUUUUCUCAUUCUUUUCGCAUUUUAAUAUAUUUUGCAUGGUAUUAAGGCGUCAGAGAAACCAUUAGUUAAAAAAAAGGUUCACGUUUUUUAUUCGUUAUCGUUCUGAUGAUCCAGGCCAAAAUUUAUUAUUUUCUUAUUUAAAUCUGUGAUUCCCCCGAAUGAUACUCCCGUUAAAAUUAUUUUCUGGAAAAAUGUGUCGUAUUUGUCCCGUAUUAAUUCGAAACACGACGAUGAUAUAAAAGCGACGGUUAAAUUUAUAACAGACUAAUAAAUUCAUCCGAGUGGGAUUUCCACCGUCUGUCUUACUUUAAAAAUAGCUCCGAAUGAAAUCAAAAUUAAUUAAUGCGAAAAAUCGAUAUCCGAGGGGAUUAAAUGAUAAAUCUUUCUCUCUUAUCUUAUUUAUGUUAAUUGUGCGUGUUUUAAGUUUGUUAAAUGUUGAUUUAGUAUCGAAAUCGGGACGAAAAUGGUUUUUUCUCCCUCCCCUUUUCUUCUUUCCCAGUCGUAUUACAUUUCUAUUCGAAUGGAGUAGGCGGAUGCCUAAUCAAUUUUGCACCAGGCAGACUUUGGCUGUACGCGCAAAACGAGAAAAACGCUGGACGGAAUAUCUAAAAUAUUGAAACGAGGUUAUAUACAAAAUUUAGCAUUGCAAAAAAAAAGAGACCGUUUUGAUGAAUGACAUAAGAAAUACCUGUUAUCGCCGAAGUUGCCGAUUUCGUUUAGAAUAUUUAUACUUGCAGUAAAAAUUCUAGCGUGGCAAAAAUAAUUGAUGAUAGCUUAACUUAGACACCGUUAUCAAUUAUUAUUUAACCGUUAAUGGUUUGUGUAGUGUGUGAUAUACUGUAAUAAAUUUUAUAUUUUCUGUUGUACAGCGUAAUUUUUGUAUAGUUGUGCC
rnacentral:lncRNA from 1 species